rnacentral:rRNA from 1 species
AUUGAACGCUGGCGGCAGGCCUAACACAUGCAAGUCGAGCGGAGCGGCGGACGGGUGAGUAAUGCCUAGGAAUCUGCCUGGUAGUGGGGGAUAACGUCCGGAAACGGGACCUAAUACCGCAGAAUAGCAGUGAGGUCUAGGUUGGCUUAGCUAGUUGGUGGGGUAAAGGCUUACCAAGGCGACGAUCCUUACCUGGUCUGAGAGGAUGAUCAGUCAAACUGGAACUGAGACACGGUCCAGACUCCUACGGGAGGCAGCAGUGGGGAAUAUUGGACAAUGGGCGAAAGCCUGAUCCAGCCAUGCCGCGUGUGUGAAGAAGGUCUUCGGAUUGUAAAGCACUUUAAGUUGGGAGGCGUUACCAACAGAAUAAGCACCGACUAACUUCGUGCCAGCAGCCGCGGUAAUAC